rnacentral:rRNA from 1 species
GACGAACGCUGGCGGCGCGCUUAACACAUGCAAGUCGAACGGUAAGGCCCUUCGGGGUACACGAGUGGCGAACGGGUGAGUAACACGUGGGUGAUCUGCCCUGCACUUCGGGAUAAGCCUGGGAAACUGGGUCUAAUACCGGAUAGGACUCCUGGCUUCAUGGUUGGGGGUGGAAAGCUUUUGCGGUGUGGGAUGGGCCCGCGGCCUAUCAGCUUGUUGGUGGGGUAAUGGCCUACCAAGGCGACGACGGGUAGCCGGCCGGAGAGGGUGACCGGUCACACUGGGACUGAGAUACGGCCCAGACUCCUACGGGAGGCAGCAGUGGGGAAUAUUGCACAAUGGGCGCAAGCCUGAUGCAGCGACGCCGCGUGAGGGAUGACGGCCUUCGGGUUGUAAACCUCUUUCAGCUAUGACGAAGCGCAAGUGACGGUAGUAGCAGAAGAAGGACCGGCCAACUACGUGCCAGCCGCCGCUGUAA